AGUGAACGCUGGCGGUAGGCCUAACACAUGCAAGUCGAACGGCAGCACAGGAGAGCUUGCUCUCUGGGUGGCGAGUGGCGGACGGGUGAGGAAUACAUCGGAAUUUACUCUGUCGUGGGGGAUAACGUAGGGAAACUUACGCUAAUACCGCAUACGACCUACGGGUGAAAGCAGGGGACCUUCGGGCCUUGCGCGAUUGAAUGAGGCGAUGUCGGAUUAGCUAGUUGGCGGGGUAAAGGCCCACCAAGGCGACGAUCCGUAGCUGGUCUGAGAGGAUGAUCAGCCACACUGGAACUGAGACACGGUCCAGACUCCUACGGGAGGCAGCAGUGGGGAAUAUUGGACAAUGGGCGCAAGCCUGAUCCAGCCAUACCGCGUGGGUGAAGAAGGCCUUCGGGUUGUAAAGCCCUUUUGUUGGGAAAGGAAUCCAGCUGGCUAAUACCCGGUUGGGAUGACGGUACCCAAAGAAUAAGCACCGGCUAACUUCGUGCCAGCAGCCGCAGUAA
rnacentral:rRNA from 1 species